GGAUUGGUAUGAUAUCAAGGCUCCUUCGGUUUUCACUGUAAAAAAUGUCGGAAAGACUCUUGUUACUCGCACCCAGGGUACCAAGAUUGCAUCUGAAGGACUCAAACAUAGAGUCUUCGAGAUCUCUUUGGCUGAUCUUCAGGAUGAUGAAGAGCAUGCUUACAGAAAGAUUCGAUUGAGAGCAGAAGAUGUUCAAGGGAGGAAUGUACUGACAAAUUUCUGGGGAAUGAACUUCACUACUGACAAAUUGAGGUCUUUAGUACGCAAGUGGCAUACUUUGAUUGAAGCUCACGUAGAUGUCAAAACCACAGACAACUACACCCUUAGAAUGUUUUGC
rnacentral:misc_RNA from 1 species